AUGGGCUUCGAGCAAAGCCCGCAUGAGGCCGCUGUCUACCGACGGGGCAGUGGAGGAAAUGCCCUGCUGGUGGGCGUCUAUGUUGACGACUUGGUGAUCAUCGGCACCAAAGAUGCAGAGGUAGCGGCAUUCAAGGAAGACAUGAAGGCCACCUUCCAGAUGAGUGAUCUGGGGCUCCUCUCCUUCUAUCUAGGGAUUGAGGUGCACCAGGAUCACUCCGGGAUCGCGCUUCGACAGUCUGCCUACGCCAAGCGCAUCGUUGAGCUAGCUGGGCUCACCGGUUGCCAUCCAGCUCUCACUCUGAUGGAGGAGAGGCUGAAACUAAGCCGCGACAGCACGACGGAGGAAGUGGAUGCUACGGAGUACCGACGCCUUGUGGGGAGCCUUCGCUACCUCACCCACACACGGCCGGACCUAUCAUUCUCCGUCGGCUAUGUCAGUCGGUUCAUGGAGCGACCGACGUCGGAACACCAGCAGGCAGUGAAGAGGAUCAUCCGCUACAUAGCAGGGACCCUCGACCACGGCCUCCACUACCCUAGGUGUCCGGGGGUAGCACACUUCGUCGGGUACAGCGACAGCGACCACGCCGGCGACAUCGACACCAGCAAGAGCACGAGCGGGAUCCUCCUCUUCCUCGGCAAGUGUCUCGUGAGCUGGCAAUCAGUCAAGCAGCAGGUGGUGGCCCUGUCCAGCUGUGAGGCUGAGUACAUAGCGGCCUCCACCGCCUGCACUCAGGCGCUUUGGCUCGCUCGACUGCUUGGUGAUCUUCUCGUUCAAGACACCAGAACGGUGCAGCUCCUGGUGGACAGCAAGUUCGCCCUGGCCCUGGCAAAGAACCCCGUGUUCCACGAACGGAGCAAGCACAUCCGGCUGAGGUAUCACUUCAUCCGCAGCUGUGUGGAAGAAGGGAGCAUCGAGGCGAGCUACAUCAACACCAAGGAUCAGCUCGCAGACCUGCUCACCAAGCCUCUUGGGAGGGUCAAGUUCCUUGAGCUUUGCUCCAGGAUCGGGAUGAUUCAACACUCCCACAAGACGACGUACAAGACUUAG
rnacentral:rRNA from 1 species